rnacentral:rRNA from 1 species
UACAGAGGGUGCAAGCGUGGUUCGGAAUUAUUGGGCGUAAAGGGCGCGUAGGCGGUGCGGUAAGUCUCUUGUGAAAUCUCCGGGCUCAACUCGGAGCCUGCAAGGGAAACUGCCGUGCUUGAGUAUGGGAGAGGUGAGUGGAAUUCCCGGUGUAGCGGUGAAAUGCGUAGAUAUCGGAAGGAACACCAGUGGCGAAAGCGGCUUCCUGGUCCAGCACCGACGUUCAGGCACGAAAGCGUGGGGAGCAAACAGG